CGUGGGCAGCUUACACAUGCAGUCGAACGGUCUCUUCGGAGAUAGUGGCGGACGGGUGAGUAACGCGUGAGAAUCUAGCUUCAGGUCGGGGACAACCACUGGAAACGGUGGCUAAUACCGGAUGUGCCGAAAGGUGAAAGAUUUAUUGCCUGAAGAUGAGCUCGCGUCUGAUUAGCUAGUUGGUGUGGUAAGAGCGCACCAAGGCGACGAUCAGUAGCUGGUCUGAGAGGAUGAUCAGCCACACUGGGACUGAGACACGGCCCAGACUCCUACGGGAGGCAGCAGUGGGGAAUUUUCCGCAAUGGGCGAAAGCCUGACGGAGCAAUACCGCGUGAGGGAGGAAGGCUCUUGGGUUGUAAACCUCUUUUCUCAGGGAAUAAAAAAAUGAAGGUACCUGAGGAAUAAGCAUCGGCUAACUCCGUGCCAGCAGCCGCGGUAAUACGGAGGAUGCAAGCGUUAUCCGGAAUGAUUGGGCGUAAAGCGUCCGCAGGUGGCACUGUAAGUCUGCUGUUAAAGAGCAAGGCUCAACCUUGUAAAGGCAGUGGAAACUACAGAGCUAGAGUACGUUCGGGGCAGAGGGAAUUCCUGGUGUAGCGGUGAAAUGCGUAGAAAUA
rnacentral:rRNA from 1 species